rnacentral:rRNA from 1 species
AUUGAACGCUGGCGGCAUGCUUUACACAUGCAAGUCGAACGGCAGCGCGGGCUUCGGCCUGGCGGCGAGUGGCGAACGGGUGAGUAAUACAUCGGAACGUGCCCAGUAGUGGGGGAUAGCUCGGCGAAAGCCGGAUUAAUACCGCAUACGACCUGAGGGUGAAAGCGGGGGAUCUUCGGACCUCGCGCUUUUGGAGCGGCCGAUGGCAGAUUAGCUAGUUGGUGGGGUAAAGGCCUACCAAGGCGACGAUCUGUAGCUGGUCUGAGAGGACGACCAGCCACACUGGGACUGAGACACGGUCCAGACUCCUACGGGAGGCAGCAGUGGGGAAUUUUGGACAAUGGGCGAAAGCCUGAUCCAGCAAUGCCGCGUGUGUGAUGAAGGCCUUCGGGUUGUAAAGCACUUUUGGCGGGAACGAAAAGGACUGUGCCAAUACCACGGUUCGAUGACGGUACCCGCAGAAUAAGCACCGGCUAACUACGUG